rnacentral:rRNA from 1 species
AUUAUCGAACGCUACACACACACACACACUUGUGCACACAUCGUCCGCCGGCCCUCGCGAGAGGAUCGGCGGGUCCACACACACACACACACACAUACCGAGGUCAGAAUGUGACUACACACUAUUACAACUUUCAGCAACGGAUCUCUUGGCUCUCGCAUCGAUGAAGAACGCAGCGAAUCGCGAUAUGUAAUGUGAAUUGCAGAUUUCCAGUGAAUCAUCGAAUCUUUGAACGCACCUUGCGCUCUCCGGUACUCCGGAGAGCAUGCCUGUUUGAGUGUCAUUCGAAUUCUCAACCGUGCCCUCGAGGCGCACGGCUUGGACUUGGGAGUUGCUGGCGUCGCAAAGACGUCGGCUCUCCUCAAACGCAUGAGCGGGACUAGCAUGUCCGGACGUGCACGGCCUAGUUCGACGUGAUAACGAUCGUCGUCGGGCUGGAGCGUCCGGACGACGCCAGAUCUGCUUCCAACCUCGGCCAGCUCAGCUACUAGCCCUCGUGGCGAACGCGGGCGCGCUAACCCCUUUGACCUCAAAUCGGGUGAGACUACCCGCUGAACUUAA